rnacentral:misc_RNA from 1 species
AACGCAACUUGCGCUCUCUGGUAUUCCGGAGAGCAUGCCUGUUUGAGUGUCAUGAAAUCUCAACCAUUAGGGUUUCUUAAUGGCUUGGAUUUGGAGGUUGCCAUUCUAAAUGGCUCCUCUUAAAGGAGUUAGCAGGUUUUACUAUUGCUAUCUGGCGUAAUAAGUUUCGCUGGAAUGGUAUUGUGAAGCGUGCUUCUAAUCGUCUUCGGACAAUUACUUUGACUCUGGCCUCAAAUCAGGUAGGACUACCCGCUGAACUUAA